rnacentral:lncRNA from 1 species
GGAGAGAUCGCGAAGAGAGAGAGAGAUUUGGGGAGGAGAUGAGACGCAGCGAGGGUGGGCGGCAGCGGCGCGACGCAGCGCGACAAGGGUGGGCGGCGACGGGCUGGCUCGGGGCAGCGGCGCCGGUGGCGGAGUCGAGAGGGGAGAGAGAGAGUUGAGAGAGACAGUGAGGACGAACAAAACUAGGGCUUCUAGUUUUGGGGGUUAAUUUCUAAAUUUCCUAAAUUUUUUUCUUUUUUUCUUUUUUUUUCACUUUUAAUAUUCAAUUUAUGGUAUUUAGAUUUUUAAUUUAGAUUUUAUAUAAGUGUUAAUAAAAUAAAAAAAAUGUUAUGAAUUUUUUAUUUUUCAAAGUCUAUAUCUAGGAAUAAAUUCAAAUUUAGGAUAAAUAAUUUAUUUGUUAUUUUUUAA